ensembl:lncRNA
CUUUUCCUCAAGUUUAUCUCGGCUACUGUUCUGAGAGGAAUAAGACACAAUUUACCUCAGAUGAAGAAGCGCUGAGAGAAAUAAGCUUUGGAUUUUCAUCAGAAGAAUGCGGCGGCUUGAUAUCCAGUGGAGGAUAUCAUUUACACAAGACAGUGGCUGCAUCACUGGCAUCUUGCACAAAAAAGCACAUUGUCGUUCAGUUUUGAGUUCACUGGAAAAUCAUACUGAUGGUUGAAGAUUGUCCCAAAGCGCUUUCCGUACUUGCAAUUUCGCACAUGCACGGGACGACGCAUCCAUUUUCCACCUGUCCUUGGCCAACUUUUGUAAAUCUGUUAUCAUCCAUAAAUUAUUUGGCUCUGAAUGUGGAGGUGCAAACAGUUAAACUUAAAACUCAUUCGAAGUCGAAGUCAUGUUGAUGUUUUACAUUUAAGGACUACAGAGAGCCAGGUAAAUGCAGAAUUCACCCUCAUCACCACAGUCCCCCGUUCUCAACCUUUAUGUCCCGACUGGAUCAUUACUAUAGCCAGCUAUUGAGGGUAUUCAAAAAGAAGGGGGGAACAGCAAGACGUGAUAUCGACAUAAUCAUUGCAGAAAUGGACAUGAAUCCCAGUGUUGAAGUACGACAGACAUGCAUCCUAAAGGCGUUGUGCGUCUACUUAAAUGAAAAGCCUGACAGCCUUAUUAAGGAGUACUGGGCUACUGAGGAUAUUGGUAUUGAUGCAAUGACAGAAAUGGAGAGACUGGCUUUGGGUGUCUACAUUGUUCGAUAUGAUGGAGCAGAUGCUUCAGAUCCACCUGAGGAUGUUGGCGUCGUCAUUGAAGGCUGCACAGUGCUGCGAGAUCUGAGAGAGGUUGCAAAUGGAUGUGCAGUCCUGUUUGGCUUGAUCUAGUGUUUAAACUUGAGCUAUCCCAAGGAG